rnacentral:rRNA from 1 species
AUGCGUAACAAAAGGGAUAACUGGCCGUCAACUCUCAAGUUUUCCAAUUUCCACCCGUACACGAACCUGCUCCAACAUCCCAGCUUUCACCUCGCCGUACACUACAAAUAUCCUUCUCUCUACCUUCACGCCUCCACCACACGCCGCGCUUGCAACUCCGGCCAGCUCGACCGGAGCCGAAGCCAAGCAACUCCGGCACGAGCAAGAGUCCCCGUACGGCGUGCGCUCUACUACCAUACCAUGGCGCGAUUCCUCGUUAUCGUGGCCACCGCCGUGCUACUGUCUGCGGCGGGCGCGACGGGCCAGCAGAAGGGCUGCGGGAACGCGACGUUCCCGGCCGGCCGGUCGUUCGAGCGGUGCAACACCCUGCCCGUGCUCGGGGCCAGCCUGCACUGGACGUACCACGCGGCGAACGGCACCGCCGAGCUCGCCUUCCGCGCGACGUCGGGCAGCGCCAGGUGGGUCGCCUGGGGCAUCAACCCCAGCGGCGCCGGCAUGGCCGGCAGCAACGUGUUCGUCGCCUCGCAGGGCGGCAGCGGCGCCGUGUCUGUGCUCACCACCAUCCUGAGGUCCACGGCCCCGGCCCUGGACAACACCACCCUCCAGUUCGACGUGCCGGUGCCGCCCACCGCGGAGUACGCGGCCGGCGCGUACACGAUCUACGCGACGGUGGCGCUGCCGGGGAACUCCACGCAGCAGAACACGGUGUGGCAGGCGGGGCCGCUCAGCGGCGGGGACAUAUUGCCGCACCCGACGUCCGGGCCCAACUUGCAGAGCCUUAUGCAACUGGACUUUCUCUCCGGCUAG